AUUGAACGCUGGCGGCAUGCCUAACACAUGCAAGUCGAACGGCAGCGCGGGUAGCUUGCUACCUGGCGGCGAGUGGCGGACGGGUGAGUAAUGCAUAGGAAUCUGCCCAGUAGCGGGGGAUAGCCCGGGGAAACCCGGAUUGAUACCGCAUACGCCCUACGGGGGAAAGCAGGGGAUCUUCGGACCUUGCACUAUUGGAUGAGCCUAUGUCUGAUUAGCUUGUUGGUGGGGUAACGGCCUACCAAGGCGACGAUCAGUAGCUGGUCUGAGAGGACGAUCAGCCACACCGGAACUGAGACACGGUCCGGACUCCUACGGGAGGCAGCAGUGGGGAAUAUUGGACAAUGGGGGAAACCCUGAUCCAGCAAUGCCGCGUGUGUGAAGAAGGCCUGCGGGUUGUAAAGCACUUUCAGUUGGGAAGAAACAGCAGCCGGCUAAUAUCCGGUUGUCUUGACGUAACCAACAGAAGAAGCACCGGCUAACUCCGUGCCAGCACG
rnacentral:rRNA from 1 species